CAUUUCACAUCUGGGAUGGAAGUGUGAGUUCACUGCUAUCUGGCAGUGAGGAACCUUGAGGGGUGGUAAAGCCAGUCUGACUGUGCCACCUCCCGAGGGCCCAGCAGCUGGCCUAUCCAUCCAGCAGUCUAUGCUUCGGGCUCUUCAUCUGGGAAAGAGAAAAUGCUGAGAAGAUGCACUGCUGUCUGCCUCAGCAGCCGGGGUUCCGGAGGCUGCAGCACAAAGGGGAAGUGCCAGCCCCCAUGCCAUGUGUCUGACCCACCUCAGCGCGGGAACUUCCUCUGUCAGUCUGUCACUCUGCAAGGUUGAGGCUUCCCCCACAGAGCCGCCCGAGAUCAUCCUAGAGGCUUCCUUCUUGCCCGAGGAUCACACAGCCUCCUCACCCAAGGACUCACUUCCUGUUGGUAUCAACUUCGUAGCCUGGGGAGCCAGCCCAGAGUGAUAUCUCUCUGCCUGGCCACAGUCUUUCAAGCACUGCCUCUGAAGACGACAGCCAGCACGGCCCUGAGACAGACAUUCCACGGGUCACUGCUGUCCAUCUUAGGAGGCACUGAGCACUGCUGCAGGAGACAGCAUGGGAGAGGCAAGAGCAGCAGCAAGGACCUUCUCCUCUGCAGAACUAGGGAGACGGAGACCCUGGAGAUGGAGACACUAAUGACCCAGAAUCCAGUCAAACCUGGUUCCUUUGCCAUUGUCUGCCUCCCCCACCAACAUGCAUCACUCUGGGUCUGUCAGCCCUGCUGUCAGCCUAGGCUUGGCUCCGAAAGCCCUCAUCACACAGAUGGUGGAUGUGGAGAGCGGCUGGGUUCAACCUCACCCCGAGGGCCAGUAGAGUCCACCAUGGCUUGCACCCCCAGAAGUUCUCAGAGUUUGCUGACCUUUGUCCCCCGCCAAAAAACGAUCCUGUCCCUGUCUCUAGACAACCUCUCCCCUGCUUCCCUGCAGCCCAGCCCCCUCCACAGCCUCUGCUUCACGAAACACAUUCGGGCAGAGUUCAUGGGUGGUUCCUGCCAGGGAAACACCACUGCUCCCCUCAGGACAUUUGGCAAUGCGGCAGAAGAUUGGUUUGGUGUCACGUGUCACACGCUGGCAACUAGUGGAUACAGGUCAAGGAUGCUGUUACACGCCCUAACAUCUACCAUGGCUAUAAGGAAUACAUUAAAAAAAAAAAAAAAACCUAACAACACAACAGAGAUUUUGUGCUCGCUAGCUGUGGUGAGCCAGACCUGCAAGGCCAGCACCUGUGAGACUGACAUAAGAGGUUUGCUACAAGUUCAAGGCCAGGGCUGGGCUAUGUCGGGAGACCUUGUCUCAAAAAACAAAAAUAAAC
rnacentral:lncRNA from 1 species